CAAAACCCGCAGCUCGGCUCCGUCAAAUCCCGCAGCUCAGCUUGGCAGCUUAAUUGGUCGGCUCAGCAGCUCAGCUUGGUGAAUCGGUAUCACUAUAAUAUAUCGAUUCCAAGGUUUUUGGCCCUUCCGAAGCCGUUUCUGCCCUUAGUUUUACCAUCCGAGGACAUAUUUAACCGCUGGGAUUAGCUCGUUGUGAGUGACUUCAACCAAGACCAUCGAGGUAAAGGCAAGGCGCCAAUGUACGGUUGACGGCGGAGCUGAGGC